GCCCAUAUCACGUUGAAAAAUCGGGUCCCGUACGAUCACCGAAGUUAAACUACGUCGAGCCUGGUCAUUACCUAGACGGGUAACCACUUGGGAAUACCAGGUACU